rnacentral:rRNA from 1 species
UGCGUAGGCGGCGCGGUAAGUCGGGUGUGAAAUCUCGGAGCUUAACUCCGAAACUGCAUUCGAUACUGCCGUGCUUGAGGACUGGAGAGGAGACUGGAAUUUACGGUGUAGCGGUGAAAUGCGUAGAUAUCGUAAGGAAGACCAGUGGCGAAGGCGGGUCUCUGGACAGUUCCUGACGCUGAGGCACGAAGGCCAGGGGAGCAAACGG